UGGGACUUGACGUCAGACGUAGCACCCGCUUCCGGUGGCGGUUGCCGGGGCAACCGAGACGCGGCCAGCGUGGAGUCUGCGUCUCGGUGCGAGCGCUGACCUCAGGCGACCCCAGGAGGGAUCGGAGGACCCUAUCAUCCCCGCGCUGCCAGCUGCCGCAGCCGCAGGCCAUGCGGAGCUCCCUGCUCCCCAGCGCCUCGCUCCCGGUCUCUCCCCCAGGGGCGCAGGUUUAAGGAUCUUCCAAGCAUCCGGCGGGUGGGCGUCUCUGGAGCCCGCUCCCCAGUCCUGGCGGUGACUGGGCGCCAGGCACAGCCUGACGCUCAGAAAAAGCACUGGAGAAGCCGGUUAAUGCAAACCCCAGGGGCGCCCCUGAUUCACUGGUCUGCCUGUUUGCAGACAUGCUACGGCCUUUGCCCGGCGUUAAAGUUGGUGGACUGCGCAGAACAGUUGGCCAGGCAGGUGGCCCAGACCCCACCCCACCCCCGCCCCGCCCCGCCCCCAGGGAUUCUGAUUCAGCAGAUGUGAAAUUGGAGGCCAAGAAUCUCUCCUUGAACCAUCAGUCAGGUGAUCCCUGAGGCAGUUUCUACCUGCAGGUGGCUUGAGAGCCGGAGAAACCAAAGGGUGACAUGAGAGGCAGCAGCGAGAGGCAAGUAGGAAAUACUGAACUUUGGGCCGGAAAGGGCUGAAUCCAAUCCCCAGUCUACAUCUGCCAGCUGUGUGGCCCUGGGCAAAUGGCUUAAUGCGUCUGAGCCUGUUUCUUCACCUGUGAGAUGGCUGUCGAAGUACCUGUCCUGCUGGGUUGCUGUGACAGGAGAGGGAAUGUGUGGGGAAUGGUUGGCACAUGGCAAUUCUCAGUAUACGGCCCCUAGAACAACAGCUGAAGUCACUGCUGCAGAGGUAACAGUUGCCAGAUACAGAACCGUCCUCUUCCGUGAUCCAAACCCACGCCCCCAAAACCACCACUGACCAGCAAACACCACUCUUUAGAAGACCACCC